CAGCAGCCGCGGGAACACCGGCAGCUCUAGUGGUAGCAAUUUUAUGGGCCUAAAGCGUCCGUAGCCGGUUCAAUAAGUCUCUGGUGAAAUCCUGUAGCUUAACUGUGGGAAUUGCUGGAGAUACUAUUAGACUUGAGAUCGGGAGAGGUUAGAGGUACUCCCAGGGUAGAGGUGAAAUUCUGUAAUCCUGGGAGGACCGCCUGUUGCGAAGGCGUCUAACUGGAACGAUUCUGACGGUGAGGGACGAAAGUUAGGGGCGCGAACCGGAUUAGAUACCCGGGUAGUCCUAACUGUAAACGAUGCGGACUUGGUGUUGGGGUGGCUUUGAGCUGCUCCAGUGCCGAAGGGGAGCUGUUAAGUCCGCCGCCUGGGAAGUACGGUCGCAAGACUGAAACUUAAGGAAUUGGCGGGGGAGCACCACAACGCGUGGAGCCUGCCGGUUUAAUUGGAUUCAACGCCGGACAUCUCACCAGAGGCGACAGCUGUAUGAUAGCCAGGUUGAUGACUUUGCUUGACUAGCUGAGAAGUGGUGCAUGG
rnacentral:rRNA from 1 species